ensembl:lncRNA
CCAGGUUAUUUUGUUUGCCAAUUACACAACAGAUCACAAGUCCAACAACCAAACACUGCUACAGAUUCUUUUAGAAUUUAAACGGCGGCUUGGAUGUUAAGGCUUUGGGUUACUGAUCGGAAGGUCGGGGGUUCAAGCCCCAGCACUGCCAGGCUUUGGGUUACUGAUCGGAAGGUCAGGGGUUCAAGCCCCAGCACUGCCACUGUGAUAAAUUAAACCUUUUAUUUGUACUUGUGUUCGACGCACGUGAAUCGAAGCGGCCUUUGGCUGAAUGCGCAUUGUGAUGACGCAUUUUGGCCCAACUCUGCAUAAAUCUGUG